rnacentral:snRNA from 1 species
AUGCUCGCUUCAGCGGCACAUAUACUAAAAUUGGAACAAUACAGAGAAGAUUAGCACGGUCCAUUUGCAAGGAUGACAUGCAAAUUCAUGAAGCGUUCCAUAUUUUU